rnacentral:rRNA from 1 species
GAUGAACGCUGACAGAAUGCUUAACACAUGCAAGUCUUUGGCGAAGCUGUGCUUGCACAGCCUAGCCAAGGCGGACGGGUGAGUAGCGCGUAAGGAACUUGCCCUGCAGUCAGGGAUAACAGACGGAAACGACUGAUAAGACCUGGUAAAGUCAGGCGGACUCAUGUCCAGCCUGAUGAAAAGAGAUGCUGCAGGAGAGCCUUGCGUCCUAUUAGCUUGUUGGUGGGGUAACGGCCCACCAAGGCGAUGAUAGGUAGCCGGCCUGAGAGGGUGGACGGCCACAAGGGGACUGAGAUACGGCCCUUACUCCUACGGGAGGCAGCAGUGGGGAAUAUUGGACAAUGGGGGCAACCCUGAUCCAGCAAUUCUGUGUGCACGAUGAAGGUUUUCGGAUUGUAAAGUGCUUUCAGCAGGGAAGAAAAAAUGACGGUACCUGCAGAAGAAGCGACGGCUAAAUACGUG